AUGAAGAAUGUUACGACAGUUAUGAUCUUUUUUUUUUUUUUUAUUAUUUUGUUGAACUUUUGCAAUUGUUAUAAAAAUCCUCGUUUUAUUUCUCUCACUACGGAAUCAAAAAAAGACUUAUCUGAGAAUUUGGGUGAGUUGCAUAAAAUUAAUGAUCAGUUAGUUACAAAUGAAAGGGAGGAUGAAGAUGAUGAUGAUGAUGAAGAAUUAACAAAUUCCAGCUUCGAUGAUAUAGCUUCAGAGAGUCUUCAAGAUGCUGAAAAAGAAGCAGUUGUUGAUCUGGAAAAUAUAGAAAUUGAAAACCUUUUGAAUGAAGAAAUAUUUAGAGUAAUUCAAGAGAGAUUAAAAAUGUUAUGGUACAUAGGAAAAUGUAGAAGAGAUUAUACUCUAAUAUGUCCUUUAGGUUAAAGAAGAAAAUUGCGUAAUUAUAUAAAGUAAAAUGGGACUUAUGUGUGUAC
rnacentral:lncRNA from 1 species